rnacentral:piRNA from 1 species
UUUUAUGAAACGGGUGUAAUAUCUCCUCC